UCCGCCCCUCGUGCGCCUGCGCCUUGGGCUCCGGCGGCCUGGCCGUCUUUUCUUUGUGCGCUUGCGCGCACUCGGGCGCGUUGGGAACAGCGCCCCUUGUGGCCAGCGGGCGGCGGUCCUGGGCGGGGCUGCAGGCGAGGCUCAGCGACCGCUGGUUCUGGACCCGCCUCCGGCGCUCCCUGUUGCCGGGCCCUGAGCAAGUGGCUUCAUGAACCCCGUGACGUUGGCCAUGGAGAUAAGACCACCGGGUGAUGGUUUAAGGAAAAUAAUGUGCAAAAGGCUAAGGACUGUCCGUGGAAAUCAGGGGUGCAGGGGAAAUGGAUAAACAGCCAGAGGUCAACUCGGACUUUGUACACAGGACAUGGUGCCAGGGCCCUGCCAGGAAGUGCAGAUCGAAGCUAGGCUCACGAGGAGGCUGGAGGUGGGGGGUGGGGCUGGCCCAGGGCUGGGGUUGGGGAGGCAAGGGAUGGACAUGGACUUCCUGGGCUGGGCUCUGUGACUGCAGAGUAGACUCUGUCCUGGGACUUGGUGGUGCUACCCCUGGCCUCCCACAGUCCUGCCACCCUGCCGCUGCCACCAUGCUGCCCCCUGGGACUGCGAUCCUCUUGACUCUUCUUCUGGCAGCUGGCUCGCUGGGCCAGAGGCCUCAGAGGCCACCCCGGCCCCCAUCUCCCAUCAGCACCAUCCAGCCCAAGGCCAAUUUUGAUGCUCAGCAGUUUGCAGGGACCUGGCUUCUUGUGGCUGUGGGCUCCGCCUGCCGUUUCCUGCAGGAGCAAGGCCACCGGGCCGAGGCCACCACACUGCACGUGGCUCCCCAGGGCACAGCCAUGGCUGUCAGUACCUUCCGAAAGCUGGACGGGAUCUGCUGGCAGGUGCGCCAGCUCUAUGGAGACACAGGGGUCCUCGGCCGCUUCCAGCUUCAAGCCCGAGGCGCCCAAGGGCCUGUGCACGUGGUUGUCGCUGAGACUGACUACCAGAGUUUCGCCAUCCUGUACCUGGAGCAGAGGGGGAAGCUGUCAGUGAAGCUCUACGAGCCCUCCACGCCGCCUGGUGCCAGGACCCCAGGAGCCCUGUCUGCCCUGCAGCCCGCUCGCUCCCUGUGAGCGACUUGGUCCUGAGUGGGUUUGAGCAGCGGGUCCAGGAGGCCCACCUGACUGAGGACCAGAUCUUCUACUUCCCUAAGUAUGGCUUCUGUGAGGCUGCAGACCAGUUCCACAUCCUGGACGAAGUGAGGAGGUGAGGCUGCCGCGCAGCUCCAGUGCUGAGAAGCCAGUGCCCCGAGACGACCCCACCAGUGGGGUGCCCGCUGCCCGUCCUCCGUGAGCCCCCAGCCUCAGAUCAGGGCCCUGCCACCCGGGGUGGGGGAUCUUCUGCCGGCUGCCCCAGAGGACAGUGGGUGGAAUGGUACCUUCUUAUUAAAUGUCUCAGACCCCUCUCUGACUCUUUUCUGUCCACUCUGGACCGGUGCCAGUACCACCAAGGCCCUCUCUGCCCCCACCCCGCCUCUUUAAAAGCCCGGGGCUCCCUGUUGGCUGGAGUCCACACAGUGGGCACUGGGCCGAUUUCAGCUGCUCUUGGGAUUUGGGAGGGGAGAUCCUCUCUGGCACAGGCCCACCUUGUGCCCUGCUGGGACCUGGGGGCGUCCAGCCUCACUCCUGCUCUUGCCUGGGUCAUUGUCCUGCAGC